rnacentral:rRNA from 1 species
GACGAACGCUGGCGGCGUGCUUAACACAUGCAAGUCGAACGGAAAGGCCCUGCUUUUGUGGGGUGCUCGAGUGGCGAACGGGUGAGUAACACGUGAGUAACCUGCCCUUGACUUUGGUAUAACUUCAGGAAACUGGGGCUAAUACCGGAUAGGAGCUCCUGCUGCAUGGUGGGGGUUGGAAAGUUUCGGCGGUUGGGGAUGGACUCGCGGCUUAUCAGCUUGUUGGUGGGGUAGUGGCUUACCAAGGCUUUGACGGGUAGCCGGCCUGAGAGGGUGACCGGCCACAUUGGGACUGAGAUACGGCCCAGACUCCUACGGGAGGCAGCAGUGGGGAAUAUUGCACAAUGGGCGGAAGCCUGAUGCAGCAACGCCGCGUGCGGGAUGACGGCCUUCGGGUUGUAAACCGCUUUCGCCUGUGACGAAGCGUGAGUAACGGUAAUGGGUAAAGAAGCACCGGCUAACUACGU